AACAAACUCAUUGGUGGAACAUGAAGGUGGACCCUGGGACCCAGACCUUGAGCUGUGUAAAGGGCCCCCCAAAAAAUGGAGCUGCUUACCGUUCUCCCAGAACAUUGAUUUUUGUGACCACAGUUACAAACAGCCUCCAGAGAGCCUGUUCUACACCAGACCAGUGGAGCCAGACUGCAGCUAGAGCCCAUCAUCAUCCUCAUCUUGUUGUAAGUAGGCAAUCUAGUAUAUUAU
rnacentral:lncRNA from 1 species